AUUGAACGCUGGCGGCAGGCUUAACACAUGCAAGUCGAGCGGAGAUGAGGUGCUUGCACCUUAUCUUAGCGGCGGACGGGUGAGUAAUGCUUAGGAAUCUGCCUAUUAGUGGGGGACAACAUUCCGAAAGGAAUGCUAAUACCGCAUACGUCCUACGGGAGAAAGCAGGGGAUCUUCGGACCUUGCGCUAAUAGAUGAGCCUAAGUCGGAUUAGCUAGUUGGUGGGGUAAAGGCCUACCAAGGCGACGAUCUGUAGCGGGUCUGAGAGGAUGAUCCGCCACGCUGGGACUGAGGCACGGCCCAGACUCCGACGGGAGGCAGCAGUGGGGAAUAUUGGACAAUGGGGGGAACCCUGAUCCAGCCAUGCCGCGUGUGUGAAGAAGGCCUUAUGGUUGUAAAGCACUUUAAGCGAGGAGGAGGCUACUGAGACUAAUACUCUUGGAUAGUGGACGUUACUUGCAGAAUAAGCACCGGCUAACUCUGUGCCAGCAGCCGCCGUAACAC
rnacentral:rRNA from 1 species